AUUGAACGCUGGCGGCAUGCCUUACACAUGCAAGUCGAACGGCAGCACGGGAGCAAUCCUGGUGGCGAGUGGCGAACGGGUGAGUAAAGUAACGGAACGUGCCCAGUCGUGGGGGAUAACGUAGCGAAAGUUACGCUAAUACCGCAUACGAUCUAUGGAUGAAAGCGGGGGAUCGCAAGACCUCGCGCGAUUGGAGCGGCCGAUAUCAGAUUAGGUAGUUGGUGGGGUAAAGGCUCACCAAGCCGACGAUCUGUAGCUGGUCUGAGAGGACGACCAGCCACACUGGGACUGAGACACGGCCCAGACUCCUACGGGAGGCAGCAGUGGGGAAUUUUGGACAAUGGGCGCAAGCCUGAUCCAGCCAUGCCGCGUGCAGGAUGAAGGCCUUCGGGUUGUAAACUGCUUUUGUACGGAACGAAAAGGUUUGGCCUAAUAAGCUGAGCUCAUGACGGUACCGUAAGAAUAAGCACCGGCUAACUACGUGCCAGCAGCCGCCGUAA
rnacentral:rRNA from 1 species